AGUGAACGCUGGCGGCGUGCCUAAUACAUGCAAGUCGAACGAAGUGGCGCACGGGUGAGUAAUAUAUAGUUAAUCUGCCCUACACAGAGGAACAACAGCUGGAAACGACUGCUAAUACCUCAUAGUGUAGGAUGAGACUAUAUCGUAUCAGCUAGUUGGUAAGGUAAUGGCUUACCACGGCUAUGACGCGUAACUGGUCUGAGAGGAUGAUCAGUAACAUUGGAACGGAGACACGGGUCGAACGCCUACGGGAGGCGGCAGUAGUGAAUAGUGCGCAAGGGGGGAAACCCUGACGCAGCAACGCCGCGUGGAGGAUGACCCUUUUCGGAGCGUAUGCUCCUUUUAUCAGGAAAGCGGUACCUGAUGAAUAAGCACCGGCUAACUCCGUGCCAGCAGCCGCGGUAAUUC
rnacentral:rRNA from 1 species